CUGCUCCCACGGUGUCCUUACCAGCACAACUUACCCCAUCCCUCCCUAGCCCACUCUUGAGGAUACUUUCUUGCCACUGUCAGGCUUACUCCUGCCUCCUAGACUGAGGAAAGAAAAGCCUCCUGGUUUGGAGCUCAUAAUCAAGUCAGCCUUGCUGCAGGGCUCAUUUUAAGCCAGUAUCCUGGACCAGAAUAUUUCACUGAUUGCCUUGCCCGCUUCUCAAAGGCCCACUUCUCUGUGGAAUGAUGCAGUUGCUAAGAAGAGCUGUUAAUGUCAUGACCUCAAUGAAUAAAAAAGACUUCCUUUUCUCCAUGCCCACUCAAGUAAAAGGCUUCUCUCUGAACUCCUGCUAAUUUUUCAUCAGCAAAGGUGCACAGCCUUUUGGAAGUGAAAUGAUUACUAGUGAAGAAAAAGAAAGAACCUAACACUUAUUUUACAGUAAGUAGCAAGUUGAUCUCCAUUAGGGUCAACCCUCUGGGGUGCUCUGGCCCUUCCCUUUAUGUUCUGAGACAGAUACAUCCCUGAGAAAAUUCUAGUCUCUUCUAAUCCUGGAAUAAUUUAGGGAAGCAAGUCUUGAACUUCUUCCAUCAAAGCCCAAGAAGUAACCAUAAAAGAUGUCUUAAGGGUUCUAGAAACACAUCACCAAGGGGAUUGGAUAAAAAUGUGAAAUUUGUUUAAAACCUGAAAUGUUCACUUUUAAAAAGCAUGCAAAUUGUGACUACCCUUCCACAAUGUAUUUGUUUUACUGCAAAAAUAAUUUAAAUGUCUUUCAGAUUAAAUUAUGAAAAUAUUUACCUCCAAAUUUUGGCAUGAAGUUAAAACUCCUGGAUAAUGUGCUAUGUUUAUUCUGUGGGUUUUUAUAUCCCUGGCACACUGCCAUGUAUCUUGCCGAAUAGCCAAAUAUUAGGAUAUUAUACUACCCUGAUGAUUUUGCUAAAUAAUUAUUAUGCCAAACAAGACAGUAAUUCAAAGAAGGACAAGUGUCUGAACUCUUGUUCUUUCAGAAAGCUUAAGAGUAGUAGUGAGUGCAUCUGCUGCGUGACUCCUGCAAUCUCAGCAUCUGUUUCUAGUUAGAGAGCCAGUGAGUAAAUUGAAUCAGGGUCACUGAAGCAGGUGUUCUUGGUGAAUUGCAGAGCCUCCCAGUGACCACUCUUCAGACAAAACUUCUUAUAAUAGCUUCCUUCCCUGAAUCUUUUGCGAAACAUCAAAUCACAAAGAGAUCUUAUUCUUUUUCUUCUAGGACCAAUAAGUUAAGGAGCCGUGAGCCACAGUGCUGAAACCCUAUGAGUCUUCAACU
rnacentral:lncRNA from 1 species